rnacentral:rRNA from 1 species
AUUGAACGCUGGCGGCAGGCCUAACACAUGCAAGUCGAACGGUAACAGGAAGCAGCUUGCUGCUUCGCUGACGAGUGGCGGACGGGUGAGUAAUGUCUGGGAAGCUGCCUGAUGGAGGGGGAUAACUACUGGAAACGGUAGCUAAUACCGCAUAAUGUCGCAAGACCAAAGAGGGGGACCUUCAGGCCUCUUGCCAUCGGAUGUGCCCAGAUGGGAUUAGCUUGUUGGUGGGGUAACGGCUCACCAAGGCGACGAUCCCUAGCUGGUCUGAGAGGAUGACCAGCCACACUGGGACUGAGACACGGUCCAGACUCCUACGGGAGGCAGCAGUGGGGAAUAUUGCACAAUGGGCGCAAGCCUGAUGCAGCCAUGCCGCGUGUAUGAAGAAGGCCUUCGGGUUGUAAAGUACUUUCAGCGGGGAGGAAGGGAGUAAAGUUAAUACCUUUGCUCAUUGACGUUACCCGCAGAAGAAGCACCGGCUAACUCCGUG